UUCUAAAUGUAUCCUGAUAUGAUACGGGUGUUAGAUAUUUAACUACAAUAAACAUGUUGCAUUAGACCUGGUAUUGAUUUGAUGCUUUUGAGGUUUACGGAAGUCUGUGAAAUUGGUAAAAGGAAACCUGUCACGAAUGAAAUAGAACAGCAGCCUUUGCGGAAUCUCCUGAAAGUACUCGUUUCCUGGCUGUUGUGCUGACUCACUAGUUUUCA